AUUUUUCAUCCCAACUUUUGAGGUCAAGUCAUUUAUAAUUUUGUUGACCUUCUCCGUUUUUCUUGGACUUUCAUUUUGUGUGUUGAUACCUCUUUGACAUUUUCUCUUUUAUUUUCUUUUAUUAAUUAUUUUUAAAUCAUUUUUAAUCAUUUUUUUUAAUUUCUUUUUGAUAUUCACUUGAUGUUUUGAAUUAAGUUGAUUUCUUGGUUGAUGAUUUCUUCCAUAUCUCAAAUCAUUGAUAGAUGGACUUGAGGUUGAUUCAAUCUUCUUUGAUCCGAAACUGUUGAUAGAUGAUCAUGA
rnacentral:lncRNA from 1 species